UGCCAGCAGCCGCGGUAAUACAGAGGGUGCGAACGUUGUUCGGAAUUACUGGGCAUAAAGCGCGCGUAGGCGGUCGAGUAAGUGUGAAGUGAAAGCCCACGGCUCACCCGUGGAACCGCUUUGCAUACUGCUCGGCUAGAGUACGGUAGGGGAGAGCGGAACUCCUGGUGGAGCGGUGAAAUGCGUAGAUAUCAGGAGGAACACCGGUGGCGAAGGCGGCUCUCUGGUCCGUUACUGACGCUGAGGCGCGAAAGCUAGGGUAGCGAACGGGAUUAGAUA
rnacentral:rRNA from 1 species